CAUUUUUUGUUUAUGUGUAUUUCAUCUGUGUUGAUAAUGAUAUCGCCAGUUUUUAUGAUUUUAUGUUGUUAAGUAAAGCAUCCUUAUGUUUCAGGCUAAAAUAGAGCUUUGACUAAUACUUUUUUCCAGUUUAAAUGAAUAACAACUCUCAAUGCGUAUUAGCUGAAAUAUCUUUUUGUUUUGAUAGUCUUUAGUCAAUAACGGAUUUUUAAAUUGUUAUGAGUCUACAACACUUUAUUUCAACGAAAUUCUAUUAAAAAGGCAUGUUAUAGAAGACAGAAAAAUGUCAAUAUCUGUUUUCAAUAGCUUGAUUUAAGUUCUACAUAAUAAAAUACAUCGUUGUACAGUCAUUUUGAUGGUUGUAAAUUUAUUUAGCACACUCAUUUUUAUAUAUUUUUAGACUGUUUACCGUUUGACUCCUGUCCCAAUCUAACCUAGUGGGUUUAAAAAAAAGCGACCGCGCUGGAAACAUAAGUGGAUUAAAAGGAUCAGCCCUUUUUGAAUUAAUAGUCGAAGUGGUAACUAGCUAGAAGUCGUAACCUGCUCGUAUGAAAGGAUUUCUCGACGUGAAAUUGUUAAUUUUAUUCAACAACGCCAAGAAACAGAGCUCUCUCAAGAAACAGAAAAGAAAGAGAAA